GCAGAAGGAAGUAAAAUGAAAAAGAAAGCAGACUGGCCUGAGUGGUUACUAGACAUCAGAAAAACCAUCUGGGAGAAGGAAAGAGCCACGUCUUACUGCUUUUAUGGAUUUACAGAAAAUUGAGAUCCUACAACAUACUCAAAAUCUCUAUAAACAGCGAUCCAAACUGAGACCCCUUGAGCUCUUGCAGAGAGCAGCAAGCUGUGACCAGCAAUGUCCCUCUGAGUGGGACACCCCCUAGAGCCAGAGAACUCUCAAGUUUGCUAUACUUGGAUGAUCACUGAACAAUGACAGCAGAUCCUGGGCCGAUACCCUGACUCCUCAAGACUCAACCCUUCGCUUGUUGAAAAGAUGCAAAGGCAUCUGAAGUACUUCACUGAAUCCGAGGACAAUUUUUCAAGUGUAUACCUUGUGCAGGCUCUUUAUGUCUGUGUGCAUGCAAGCAUGAAUAUGCCAUAGCAAAUGUACCAGUAAUGUUUCUCCCCUAGAUUCUUAAGUAUUUUAGGUUUGUAGUAAGUUAGGCCUGUGAGUUACUGUUAUGCUAUAGUAGUAAAUUCUAUAUGAAUCCCUUGCUAAGUUGUUUAUCUUAAGAUAUUAAGUGCAGUUAAGGUUAAGUGCUUUUGGACCUUUAGGUCCAAAACUGUUUGUCAAGUUUAGCACAAGAGUCUACUCUGAACCUUGUGACCCAACAGGAGGGUCUUCCAUAUUCCUUUUUUUCCUUGCCCUUUCCUAUUCUUUUCUUCUCUGACCUACCCCCUUGCCCUAUCCCUCAGCCUCCACAUAGAUGAUUUUGGGUUUACUUUGGUUUAGAUUGAUUUAUUUUAGAUUUUUGGUUUGCUUUUGUCUGUGUGCUUUAAGUAGAGUGAACCUUGCCUAUGAGCUUUGUUGUGCUAUUGCAUUUAUAUUAAACCUGUUUUUGCUGA